rnacentral:rRNA from 1 species
AACGAACGCUGGCGGCAGGCUUAACACAUGCAAGUCGAACGCACCUUUCGGGGUGAGUGGCAGACGGGUGAGUAACGCGUGGGAAUCUACCCUUCUCUACGGGAUAGCUCCGGGAAUCUGGAAUUAAUACCGUAUACGUCCUGAGGGAGAAAGAUUUAUCGGGGAAGGAUGAGCCCGCGUUGGAUUAGCUAGUUGGUGGGGUAAAGGCCUACCAAGGCGACGAUCCAUAGCUGGUCUAAGAGGAUGAUCAGCCACAUUGGGACUGAGACACGGCCCAAACUCCUACGGGAGGCAGCAGUGGGGAAUAUUGGACAAUGGGCGCAAGCCUGAUCCAGCCAUGCCGCGUGAGUGAUGAAGGCCCUAGGGUUGUAAAGCUCUUUCAGUGGGGACGAUAAUGACGGUACCCACAGAAGAAGCCCCGGCUAACUUCGUG